ensembl:snRNA U2 U2 spliceosomal RNA
AUCACUUCUCGGCCGUUUGGCUAAGAUCAAGUAUAGUAUCUGUUCUUAUCAGUUUAAUAGCAAAGUCAUAUUUAUAAUAGUUUAAGGCAAAACCUUGGAGGUUUUCUUGACUUUUCACAUGCUACCUUUAGUCUGUCAAAAAUCUAUAGGCAGGAGCUUCCAUUU